rnacentral:snRNA from 1 species
AUGUGUGGGCAAUCUGCCUCCGUCGGUCACCCCAUUACUCUGUAGGGAAGACUCAGUGGGCCUGGCUCACUAGGCAUGUAGAGUCUUCAUUUCUCACCACUUUACGUGUGCUCCUGUUAUAAAUGCAUGCUUGGUCAAGGACAAAGGUAUUUCCCAACAGAGGAGGACCAAUCUUUGGUCAAGAAUACAAGAGUAGUUACACUCCCCUGCUAGACCCUUCAAACCACCUCUCGAUCUAUAAUUACUUAAAAGAUAAUUAUUUUGUACCCAAAUUUUGCUUAUUAGGUAUUU